rnacentral:lncRNA from 1 species
AGAGCUAUAACAAUUAACAACAAUGUUUCAGAUGCAUUGACAAAUGCACAUAACGGCUUUUUUCCAUUCAAGAAGAGAGAAAAAUGAUUGGGAGAAAAGGGGAAGAAUAAGGUUGUUGGUUUAGGCAGGAAAUGACAUAAUGAGGGUGUUGAAAAUGAGCUGGUUCUUGAUUAGACCACCACCCAUCAUCAAAAGCACU